rnacentral:ncRNA from 1 species
AUACGAAGGGGAGCUUGUAGACAGGCUGAGAGGAAAUUGUGAAUUUCGACCCUAUAAACCUGAUAUGGGUAAUGCCGGCGUAGGGAUCGAAA